UAACAACAAUCUCGGGCUGGACCUGCAGU
rnacentral:piRNA from 1 species